AGUAGCCGCGGUAAUUCCAGCUCCAAUAGCGUAUAUUAAAGUUGUUGCAGUUAAAAAGCUCGUAGUUGAAUUUCGGGAUUAAUAUGUUGGUCGUGCCUUGGUACGUACUGGCAUUAUUGAUUCCUACCUUCUGAAGAACCUCGAUGUCAUUAAUUUGGUGUCUUGGGGAAUCAGGACCGUUACUUUGAAAAAUUAGAGUGUUUAAAGCAGGCUCGCGCUUGAAUACAUUAGCAUGGAAUAAUAAAAUAGGACGUUUGAUUCUAUUUUGUUGGUUUCUAGGAUCGACGUAAUGAUUAAUAGGGAUAGUUGGGGGCAUUAGUAUUCAAUUGUCAGAGGUGAAAUUCUUGGAUUUAUUGAAGACUGACUACUGCGAAAGCAUUUGCCAAGGAUGUUUUCAUUAAUCAAGAACGAAAGUUAGGGGAUCGAAGACGAUCAGAUACCGUCGUAGUCUUAACCAUAAACUAUGCCGACUAGGGAUCGGAUGAUGUUAAUUUUUAAUGACUCAUUCGGCGCCUUACGG
rnacentral:misc_RNA from 1 species